GAUGAACGCUGGCGGCGUGCCUAAUACAUGCAAGUCGAGCGAACGGACGAGAAGCUUGCUUCUCUGAUGUUAGCGGCGGACGGGUGAGUAACACGUGGAUAACCUACCUAUAAGACUGUGAUAACUUCGGGAAACCGGAGCUAAUACCGGAUAAUAUUUUGAACCGCAUGGUUCAAAAGUGAAAGACGGUCUUGCUGUCACUUAUAGAUGGAUCCGCGCUGCAUUAGCUAGUUGGUAAGGUAACGGCUUACCAAGGCAACGAUGCAUAGCCGACCUGAGAGGGUGAUCGGCCACACUGGAACUGAGACACGGUCCAGACUCCUACGGGAGGCAGCAGUAGGGAAUCUUCCGCAAUGGGCGAAAGCCUGACGGAGCAACGCCGCGUGAGUGGUGAAGGUCUUCGGAUCGUAAAACUCUGUUAUUAGGGAAGAACAUAUGUGUAAGUAACUGUGCACAUCUUGACGGUACCUAAUCAGAAAGCCACGGCUAACUACGUG
rnacentral:rRNA from 1 species